UAGUGAUAGCAAAAAAUUAAAGAGCGUGAUAAUUAGAAAAGCAAGAAAAAUAAAAGGGAGUAACCUCUUAAUUACAGCCAUGUAAUCUCUAAAUGCAUUAGAAUUAGGGUUUGGUGGUUGCAGGUGGGAUGAGGAAGACUCAUUCUGGACUAAAAAACCAGAUAUAAUCAAUCCACGUACAGUGUAUUUCUCGAUCUAGGAGAUUAAGGACCAAGGAGAGUGGCCUGUUCCCAUCUGGUCCAGUCUCAUUCCUUCUCUCUCUCUCUCUCUCUCUCUCUCUCUCUCAUUUUCCUAAUCGAUAGCAAGAAACUUUGAUUUUAGUCUUAGAUUUUCGCCACGACCGUAGUGUUGUACGUGCGUGUGUGCAGCGCAGGAACAACGGAGAUAGUCACCGCGAUCUAACUCCGCCAUCCGAGACCAAGAAGGUAAGGGAAAUUUAAUUUCCUCAACCCAAAUUUGUAGCCUCUCUAUCUGAAUCCAUUGAUGUAAAAUUAUUUUGAUGAUGAUAAUGAUUUGGAUGACAUUAGAUUAGGUGUGUCUAUUUCUGUUAAUUUCAUUUACGAAAAUGGAAUGUGUAUAUUGAUUCACGAAAGUCGGAAACGAGGGUGGCUGUAAGAUAGUGGUUAGGACGGUGAGGAUGGUGAAUCGGUGGGCGGAUGGAACCGUAGGUCUUGACCACUGGUUGGCCGAUUGGGGAGGCCGUGUGAUAGGGUCGUUGAGUCCUGGGUUAAGCGGGUUCUGAGGAGAGGGAAGUUAGGAGAGGACAGGCACUACAUGGUCUAGUGGGCCGGGUUGUUGGGUCGUGGCCAACUAGUGGGCCGAGCCAGUGUUGAGCUUCGAUGGGAAGUAAACUCUGUUUUGUGCGUAGCCCAGUGGGCCGAGUUGUUUAACCAUGGCCGAUUAGUGGGCCUAGACGUUGGGCGUAGACAUGAACUUAAUCUGGAUAUGGGUUAAUAAUAAGGGGUGAGAAUUAUUAUCAAUUAAUUGGGCUAAAAGGAGUAAGGAAACUAGUGGGCUAAGAAAUGGGCCGGAAUGAUAAUCUGAAUAGACGGGCAAGAUUAUAAAAUACAAAUAUAAGUAGAUGAUGGGCUUACUGGAAAAUAAGGUCCAAUUAAAAAUAUUGGGCCUGUAGAAGAGUAAUAUAAGAGAAAUUGGGGGGCCUGAGAUUAAAAUGUAACAGUAGACAAAUUAAAGGCUAGUAUAGGGCCGAGUGUGGACGAGAUGUUGGACACUAUACUUGAGAUUUACUUUGGGUAGUAGUGUCGUGAUGGUAAAUGCAUUCCGCAGAGUAAAUCGGUGUUUACGAGGCCAGUGCUGGUCGAUGUGUAAACCCAGUUGAGGAAUGCGUGGCAUAUAUCAAAUUUUCGUGUAGUGGCCACUGGGGAGUGUGUGUAUGGGCCAUUCGGUCGAAUUUAUACUUGUAACCCCGUCCGGUGGUCGUAUUUGUUUUCAUUGCUUAUGUUAUGAUGUUCACGUGGUUACUGGUACUAACCGUUAUGUUCUUGAGUUAGUACUUGGAAUUAGUACGGAGUUAAGAGGGGCUACACGCCCGUCGAGGAUUAGUAUUGAGCAUGGAGGCAAUUACGGGAGAAGUUGUGCUUCAUGAUAUUGACAUGAUUAGAGUGAUCCAAGAGUAAGCAAAAUAAUUGAAAAAAUUGGAGACCAUGUAGGCGAAAAUAAUUUGAUUCGAUGAUUAGUUCUAGAAUUAUGAAAUGAGGAGUACUAGAGGGUUUACGCAUGCUGCCUCAUAUUUGCUAUAAACUCAUUCCCCUUUUAUCUUUCAAAACAGGUAAAAUAGGAAAGAGUAUGAGAGGUAUCGGAGUAGAGACACGAGAUUUCCUCCUAAGCACUCCGGUCCUGUGUUAACUUUGAUUGACGUUGAGUCAAAUUUUUGGAUUUUGAAAAAAUACUUAAUACUACGAAAUUAAGUAUGCCGAGAUUUUAGAUAUCAAUUACUUGAUUAGUCAAAUGAAAGGAGGAGAUGAACUAUAUACCAUGCAUACUUUUAAAUUGUACGUACUGAUCUUAUUGACUCGAUUUGAAACGUGGAUUGUUACAAAUAAUCUUUAUCGUACUUAAUAAAACUAAACAUUGAUAGACUGUAAUAUAAUCAUACGAACUAAUUCAGAUACAAAAUGACGGAAUGGGGUGCUGUAUAAAAUACUAG
rnacentral:lncRNA from 1 species